rnacentral:rRNA from 1 species
AUGCACGCUGGCGGCGUGCUUCACCCAUGCAAGUCGAACGGUGAAGCAGAGCUUGCUCUGUGGAUCAGUGGCGAACGGGUGAGUAACACGUGAGCAACCUGCCCCUGACUCUGGGAUAAGCGCUGGAAACGGCGUCUAAUACUGGAUAUGAGCUGCGACCGCAUGGUCAGCAGUUGGAAAGAUUUUUCGGUCUGGGAUAGGCUCACGGCCUAUCAGCUUGUUGGUGAGGUAAUGGCUCACCAAGGCGUCGACGGGUAGCCGGCCUGAGAGGGUGACCGGCCACACUGGGACUGAGACACGGCCCAGACUCCUACGGGAGGCAGCAGUGGGGAAUAUUGCACAAUGGGCGAAAGCCUGAUGCAGCAACGCCGCGUGAGGGAUGACGGCCUUCGGGUUGUAAACCUCUUUUAGCAGGGAAGAAGCGAAAGUGACGGUACCUGCAGAAAAAGCGCCGGCUAACUACGUG